AAAAAGAAAGAAAAAAGCCACUGAGUUUCUAAGAAGAGAGGGAGACGUAGGUGAAGGCGAAAGGUUUCUUCAAACACUUCUUCAAUCAAUUGAAUCGGUGGAGACGUAGGUGAAGGGGAAAGGUCCAUUGAUGUAGUCCGCUUCCUUCCUUAGCAAAGCAAUCACGCUUUCCAUUGAGUCAAUUUGUAAUCUGCUUCGACUUGGACUUGGCUUCAAUUUGUAAUCUGCUUCGACUACUUCGACUGCUACGCAAUUUCUUAUAUUUGCGUAGGCCCUUUCAAGGUUCUUCAUAGCCACACGCUAAUUGGAUUGGGGUGGCAUUUUUGACGUGCAACAAUGAUGUAAUUUGCUUGAAUUUUCAUUUUUAUUUGAUAAGGAUACACAUAUUUUGUGAAGUUGCACUAGUUAUUGUUGGAUGUUUGGUGGAAUUGUACAAGUUAUAACUUUUGUAUAUUUUGUGGAUAUUACACUAUUUUAUUGUAUUAGGAUGAAAUUAUUUGUAAUGAUGAAUGGAUAUUUUCAUUUUGUUAA